GGCUUGUGGCGUAGUGGUUUGAGUGUUGAACUAGGACUCUGGAAACCAUGGUUCAAAUCCCAGCUCAGCCA
rnacentral:tRNA from 1 species